GCUUGUCUCAAAGAUUAAGCCAUGCAUGUCUAAGUAUAAACAACUUUAUACUGUAAAACUGCGAACGGCUCAUUAUAUCAGCAAUAAUUUAUUUGAUGAUUUCUUACUACAUGGAUAACUGUAGUAAUUCUAGAGCUAAUACAUGCGCAAAGUCCUGACUCGCGAGGGGAGGGAUGUAUUUAUUAGAUACAAAACCAAUGCGGGUUCUGCUCGCCAUUGUGUUGAAUCAUAGUAACUUAUCGAACGCCAUAGCCUUGUGCUGGGCGUAGAUCAUUCAAAUUUCUGCCCUAUCAGCUUUCGACGGUAGUGUAGUGGACUACCGUGGCGUUAACGGGUAACGGGGAAUUAGGGUUCGAUUCCGGAGAGGGAGCCUGAGAAACGGCUACCACAUCCAAGGAAGGCAGCAGG
rnacentral:rRNA from 1 species